rnacentral:rRNA from 1 species
GACGUAGGGCGCGAGCGUUGUCCGGAUUUAUUGGGCGUAAAGAGCUCGUAGGCGGCUUGUCGCGUCGUCUGUGAAAUCCCGCGGCUCAACUGCGGGCUGGCAGUCGAUACGGGCAGGCUGGAGUUCGGUAGGGGAGACUGGAAUUCCUGGUGUAGCGGUGAAAUGCGCAGAUAUCAGGAGGAAUACCGGUGGCGAAAGCGACUCUCUGGACGGCAACUGACGCUGAGGCACGAAAGCGUGGGGAGCAAACAGG